rnacentral:lncRNA from 1 species
ACUAACUUAGCCAUGGCAUCACAGACUCUAGCCUUUAUUCUACCCUAUUCUCACAGGGGUUGCCAAGCACAGCUGACAGAACUUGAGGCACCUAGGGGAAGAGACAGACAAAUUGUUGUACCCCAUCUCCUCACUGCCUUCCCAGUGGAUUGGCACACAGGUUUAAUGUGUGCUACAACUUCUUGGGGCCACUCAUGA